rnacentral:rRNA from 1 species
UACGUAGGGGGCGAGCGUUGUCCGGAUUUAUUGGGCGUAAAGAGCUCGUAGGCGGUUCAACAAGUCGGUCGUGAAAGUUCAGGGCUCAACCCUGAAAUGUCGAUCGAUACUGUUGUGACUAGGAUACGGUAGAGGUGAGUGGAAUUCCGAGUGUAGCGGUGAAAUGCGUAGAUAUUCGGAGGAACACCAAUUGCGAAGGCAGCUCACUGGGCCGCUAUCGACGCUGAGGAGCGAAAGCUAGGGGAGCAAACAGGAUUAGAUACCCUGGUAGUCCUAGCUGUAAACGAUGGAUACUAGACGUAGGAACUGGAUUGACGGUUUCUGUGUCGUAGCUAACGCGUUGAGUAUCCCGCCUGGGGAGUACGGUCGCAAGACUAAAACUCAAAGGAAUUGACGGGACCCCGCACAAGCGGCGGAGCAUGCGGCUUAAUUCGAUGAUACCCGUAGAACCUUACCUGGACUUGACAUAUAGGGUCUAGCUAUAGAGAUAUAGUGUGCAUUAGCGCCCUAUACAGGUGGUGCAUGGCUGUCGUCAGCUCGUGUCGUGAGAUGUUGGGUUAAGUCCCGCAACGAGCGCAACCCCUAUCCUAUGUUGCCAGCAUUUAGUUGGGGACUCAUAGGAGACUGCCGGUGAUAAACCGGAGGAAGGUGGGGACGACGUCAAGUCAUCAUGCCCCUUAUGUCCAGGGCUGCACGCAUGCUACAAUGGCAAGUACAACGAGUCGCAAUACCGCGAGGUGGAGCAAAUCUCUUAAAGCUUGUUUCAGUUCGGAUAGGAGUCUGCAACUCGACUCCUUGAAGUCGGAGUCGCUAGUAAUCGCAAAUCAGCAAAGUUGCGGUGAAUACGUUCUCGGGGUU